ensembl:rRNA 5S_rRNA 5S ribosomal RNA
AGUUGCAGCGAUGUGACAAGACUGUAACUACCAAUCGUCUGAUCUCAGAAGCUAAGCAGGCUUGCAUCUGGUUAGUAUUUGGAUGAGAGACCACCUUGGAAUAACAAGUGCUGUAAGCU